AUGGAGCGUUCUGCCCACACCGACCCCUCGCGGCGCCCGAGGUCCGGCCACUCGGUUGUGGUCGAGACGCAGGAGAUGGAGCACCAGACUUUCCUCCUGCUUCGCCAUGCCGUCCUGCUCGUCUGCACGGAGGAGCGCCACGCGGCGAGCCCCAUGUCGGUGGGGCGCGCUUUCGACACCCAGACGUGCAUGCCGGCGCACCUGCUGCGGGUCACGAGCCAUGACCCGGAGGACUUCCUCGUCCAUUUCGAGCUGCCGGCGCACCGUGACAACGUUGUCCACCUCGGCUCCAUCAACAUUGACGGCGUCUGCUUCAACAUCAAGCCCUGGCAUGAAGACGACCACGGCGUCCACCAAGACUUCAUGCUCCACGUCCGCGUCGUCAUCGAGAAGAUGCCUCUGCAGCUCUGGUCCAUCAAGGGGGCGGAGAAGGUGCUUGGCAAGAAGUGCAUCAUCGACCGUCUCGACUCCAGGACGCUUGAGCGCGGGCACACGAAGACAUCUGCGUGCUGGGUGUGGGUGUGGGAUGUCGCGCUCAUCCCCACCAAGCACACGCUCUGGAGGAUGGCACGGGGCGCCGGGCGCAUCGAGGCAAUGCAAGGCUUCUCGCCGCCGAGCAGGGAGGUCGCCUGUCGGUGUCAAAACCGGCGGAUCUCGGGUAGGGGGUCCCGAACUAUGCGUCUAGGCGGAUGGUAA
rnacentral:rRNA from 1 species